AUUGAACGCUAGCGGGAGGCUUUACACAUGCAAGUCGAACGAGUGGCGGACGGGUGAGUAAUAUAUCGGACCGUGCCCAGUAGCGGGGGAUAACUACUCGAAAGAGUGGCUAAUACCGCAUACUCUUGGCGAGGCCGAUAUGGGAGUAGCUAGUGGGUGGGGUAAAGGCUCACCAAGGCAACGAGCCCGAGCUGUUUUGAGAGGACGCCCAGCCACAAUGGAACUGAGACACGUCCCAGACUCCUACGGGAGGCAGCAGUGGGGAAUGUUGGACAAUGGGGGAAACCCUGAUGCAGCCAUGCCGCGUGUAUGAGAAGGCCUUCGGGUUGUAAAGUACUUUUGGCGGAGAAGCGGUAUCUGCAGAAGAAGCACCGGCUAACUACGUGCCAGCCGCCGCGGUAAUAC
rnacentral:rRNA from 1 species